rnacentral:SRP_RNA from 1 species
UCGUGCUAGGUGGGGAACUAGCGGUGCCCUGUACCCGCAAUCCGCUACAGCGGGACGGAAUCCCCAAUCGAGGUCCGACCCUGUGGGACUGCCCGGACAAGUGGUGAUGAAGGUCAGGUCUUGCGCGGCGCAGACCCGUGAACCUGGUCAGGUCCGGAAGGAAGCAGCCAUAAGCGGCCACCUGCGGGUGACGCGAGGUUGCCUGGCCGGAGCUAACUAUCUGCGGUAAGCCGGAGGGCCGUGAUCGACAGCGGGUGCGCGA